GACUGAAACUUGAGACUUCAGAGUUUUUGGUCCAACUUCGGAGGAGAAUCCCAACGAAGAAUCUACUUCCUUCCGAAUGCAAAGAUAUUUGUUUAAUUUAAUGUAAUUUAAUUUUUAUUGUUCAAGUUACCAAUCCAAGUUCACAGAAAACCUGCAUAGCCUAUCUAUCUGGCCAAAUCUCCCGCCAAAGAAGCAGCUUCAUUUCAGAGAUGUUUAGGAAUUAAUAAAGCUUCAGUUAAAACCAAAAAUGGCGGCCUCCGAGUUGCUCUCUACGCGGAAGCUAUUUUCCCCUAAGCUGUUUGGAUUCCUCGGAGCUUCAAUCAUUAAUGGCGGCGCCGGAAGGCCGAUUUCGUUUUCAGCUUCGUCGUCUUCAUCAUCGCCAUUGGAGAAUCUAAUCAUAAGAGCAAGAAUUCUAAACACGGCAUUUCAGCAACAGCGCCAACACAGAUUCUUCUCCGUGCGGUGCUCGAACUUCGGAAAGGGAUUUCUGGAAUUGUCGGACGAAGAGCUGUUGCGCCAGUGCGAGAUGGACACUUUCAAGGCCUCGGGGCCCGGCGGACAGCACCGCAACAAGCGGGAGUCUGCUGUUCGCCUCAAGCACCUUCCUACUGGCGUCAUUGCGCAGGCUGUUGAGGACCGAUCACAACACAUGAACCGUGCUUCGGCUUUGACACGCCUUCGUACGCUUUUAGCUCUCAAAGUGAGGAAUGCUGUGGAUCUUGAAGCGUAUUCACCUCCUAAAGAGCUGCUUCAAAUUCUGCCUCCGAAGUCCACAAUUAGAGGGUCAGAUUGCGGUCCCCAAAUUGGACCGAAAAAUCCUAAAUUUGUUUUGGGAAUGCAAGCUUUGUUGGAUCUAAUUUUUGCAGUUGGGGGUUCAGUAUCAGAUGCAGCAAAGUAUCUUGGGUUAAGCACAGGGGCAUUAUCCCGCUUGAUACUAUCUGAUGAUUCUCUUCGAAUGGCAGUGAAUGAAUUGAGGGCUUCUAAGGGCAUGAAGCCUCUGAAAUAGUUUCCGAUAGUUCUUACAUUUUUCAGGUGCUCCUGUUAUGUCAUGUUUGCGAGCUACAGAUGUGAUGUGAGUUAACCUUUUUGCCAAGAGAGAUGAGAUCGAAUGGAUCUUUUUCGUGCAUGGGCUUCCACAUGCACAUUCUAAUAAUAAGUUCCUCUGUCUGUUGAUCUUUGAAGAGAGCCAAAGGGAUGGUGUUAUUGCAAGUUUACUAAGAUGUUAGGAAAGGAUGUAAAAGAUUCUUACGUACCAAUUCUGUGGUGUCCAGUGAGGCGUCAUUAGACAUGGUCAUUCUUCUACUUUGUUGUGAUUUUUGUGCAGUUUUAAAGUUUAGCUUCUUUCCGUCGAUGUAAUGAGUAAUUGGAUUCAUUUCAUUUAUUUUUUGGCCAAUUUUGGUUAAUGUUGUAAAGGUUAAAUAGAGACUUGCAUGUCUCGCAAUU